rnacentral:rRNA from 1 species
UUGACCUCAAAUCGGGUGGGACUACCCGCUGAACUUAAGCAUAUCAAUAAGCGGAGGAAAAGAAACUAACAAGGAUUCCCCUAGUAACUGCGAGUGAAGCGGGAAAAGCUCAAAUUUAAAAUCUGGUGGCUUUGGUCAUCCGAGUUGUAAUUUAGAGAAGCGUCUUCCGCGCUGGACCGUGCACAAGUCUCCUGGAAUGGAGCGUCAUAGAGGGUGAGAAUCCCGUCUUUGGCACGGACACACCAGGGCUUCUGUGAUGCGCUCUCGAAGAGUCGAGUUGUUUGGGAAUGCAGCUCAAAAUGGGUGGUGAACUCCAUCUAAAGCUAAAUAUUGGCGAGAGACCGAUAGCGAACAAGUACCGUGAGGGAAAGAUGAAAAGCACUUUGGAAAGAGAGUGAAACAGUACGUGAAAUUGUUGAAAGGGAAACGCCUGAAGUCAGUCGCGUCGACCGAGACUCAGCCUUGCCUCGGCUUGGUGUACUUCUCGGCUGACGGGUCAGCAUCAAUUUUGCCCCUCGGAUAAUGGCGAGGGAAAUGUGGCACCUUUGCGGGUGUGUUAUAGUCCUUUGUCGCAUGCGAGGGUUGGGAUUGAGGAACUCAGCACGCGCCUUUAUGGUGUCGGGGCUCUGCCCACGAUACGUGCUAGGAUGUGCGUA